AUCUAGCUGACGGGUCCCAAAUUGGACGAAAACGUGCUUCCUGGAU
rnacentral:hammerhead_ribozyme from 1 species